ACAUUGAAAUAAUAAAUUGCUUCGCCGAGAGCAGCUGGAUAUGACCGCAGAGGUCCAACCCUGAACAGUUGUGGCAAAAAUGGACACAAUAUUCAAGCUUGAUACAGGUCUGAAUUUGGAUUGUAAUUAAAUAUUUGACACAUAAUAGGUUUCUGACACAGAAUAACUGUAGUCAGAGAACUUAGAAUUUGUUAUAUGAUUUGAAUUUAUAUUAAAUUUUUUGCUUUUGUGCAAUACACUAUGCUGUUGUGAAUUGACUUCCCCUCCUUAUUUUCAAAAAAAAAAAAUUGAAGGAUUUUCUUUUUGAUUUCUGAAAUCUCGAGGAGAAAAAUUGACAGCAAAUCACCUCAAGACAAUACAAAAAAUUCUUUAUACAUAAUUUAAAAGCAGUUUAAGGGAGGUAAUUCAAAGUAGUUUUUGAAUUACCUCCCUUACACUGUAAUUUGUACUUAAGUAAUUGUCCAUUAACCAGGACACCCUUGUUUUUUUCUCUCACUUUUUUCCCCUAAUUCCUAAGCGGUUGAGCCAUAACCCCCCAAAGCCAAUCCUAACCAUCCCUUUGUGGUAUGGAAACUUGUGGUAUAAUUUCAGAGAGAUCCAUACACUGUUCCACAAGUUAUUGUCAUGAAACUAGAAAAAUGCUUAUUUGGGCCCCUUUUUGGCCCUUAAUUCCUAAACUGUUCGGACCAUAACCCCCAAAAUCAAUCCCAACCUUCCUUAUGUGGUUAUAAACCUUAUGUUUAAAUUUCAUAUAGAUCCAUUCACUUAAACUAAAGUUAUUGUGCGAAAACCAAUGUGUCUGACAGCGACGACGACGAUGACGCCAACAUCAUACCAAUAUACAACCGCAAAAAUUUUUUGCGGUCGUAUAAAAACAACAUUUUUUUUUAUUUAGAUUUAACAUAACAUAAUGUAUGGCACAAUUGUAUUUAAAAACUUCACUUACAUACAACUUCCACUUCAAUAAAUGGACAAUGGUUUAUUUUAAUUUCCAAGGGAAUCUUCAACCAUAAGAAAAUGUUCAAACAUGUUAACAAUCUUUAAAUAGAACACAAUGCAUACACAAUCAUCACCACAAUUAAUGUAUCUGAAUCAGCAAAUAUAUUUUAAACUAUGACUCAAUUUAAAAUUUCUAUUAGCUUACAAUAAAUCUAUAAAUGUAGAGCUUGAUUAACUAUUAAAUAUCCCAACCCUCCUAUUGUGGUAUGGAACCUUGUGCUAAAAUUUCUUACACAUCCAUACACUUAUACUAAAGUUAUUGUCUGUGAACCAAUUUAUUUUCCAUGAGCCAGUGAUGUAAACCACAAUAAAAUGCUCCGCUGGGGCGCAGCUUGAUACGAACGCAGAGGUCGAACCCUGAACAGUUGGGGCAAGUAUGGACACAACAUUCAAGCUUGAUACAGCUCUGAAUUUGGAUUGUUAUUAAAUAUUUGACACAGC